UAUCCCCAGGAAAGCCGUGCAUGAACUGCAUCUGGCCUGAACUCCAGAGCAGAGAUGGGUGCCAGUGGCUCCUGCCCUUAGUCUCAACGGUGGUCUCCAGAGAAGCAGACAGGGACACUUUGAGUCUCUAACUUCGCAUUCUCAGCAGCAGAAACUCCAGAAUAUGAAAAGCCACGAGGAAAUCUCUCGGAGCCUGGAGUCCUCUGCUUUGUUGAUCCAAGAUGUCAAGCACCUGCUGUGGUUACCUGGUUACCUGAAGCUGAUAUGUUGUCUAAUCCACAAAAACUCAAAACCGCAGUACUAACAAGCCAGGGAAACCAUGUCCUUUUGGAUCCAAGCAUCUAAAGAAGACUGUCGGGCUAGAGAGAUGCUGUGGAGAGCGGCAGUUCUCCCCGAAGACCCAAGUUCAGUUCCCAGCAUCUUCGUUGGUGGCUCAUAAAUGCCUGCUACUCAAGCUCCAGAUCCGAUGGACUCUUCUGGCCUCUACAGAUACCUGCACAUACAUGCACAU